rnacentral:rRNA from 1 species
CAAGCGGUGGAGCAUGUGNUUUAUUCGAUGCAACGCGAAGACCCUUACCUGGUCUUGACAUCCACAGAACUUUCCAGAGAUGGAUUGGUGCCUUCGGGAACUGUGAGACAGGUGCUGCAUGGCUGUCGUCAGCUCGUGUUGUGAAAUGUUGGGUUAAGUCCCGCAACGAGCGCAACCCUUAUCUUUUGUUGCCAGCGGUCCGGCCGGGAACUCAAAGGAGACUGCCAGUGAUAAACUGGAGGAAGGUGGGGAUGACGUCAAGUCAUCAUGGCCCUUACGACCAGGGCUACACACGUGCUACAAUGGCGCAUACAAAGAGAAGCGACCUCGCGAGGGCAAGCGGACCUCAUAAAGUGCGUCGUAGUCCGGAUUGGAGUCUGCAACUCGACUCCAUGAAGUCGGAAUCGCUAGUAAUCGUGGAUCAGAAUGCCACGGUGAAUACGUUCCCGGGCCUUGUACACACCGCCCGUCACACCAUGGGAGUGGGUUGCAAAAGAAGUAGGUAGCUUAACCUUCGGGAGGGCGCUUACCACUUUGUGAUUCAUGACUGGGGUGAAGUCGUAACAAGGUAACCGUA